ensembl:lncRNA
CUUGCUCAUAUCUUCUCCCACUCAGCAGGUUGCCUUUUUCUUUUGUUGACGGUUUCCCUUGAUGUGUAAAAGCUUUUUAGUUUGAUGAACUCCCAUUUGUUUAUUUUUGCUUUUGUUGCUCUUGCCUGAGGAGACAUGUCAAAAAAACUAAUUCUAAGACCUAUGUCAAAGAGCAUACUGCCUACGUCUUCUUCUAGGAGCUUUAUGGUUUAAGGUCUAACAAUUUCAUCUUUAAUCUUCUGUUGUUGUGGUUUAUUUUUGAAUGUUGUGUAAGAAAGGGGUCCAGGUUUCCAUAACCAUUUAUUGAAGAGACAGCAUUUUCCGUGAUGGAUGUUCUUGGCUCCUUUGUCAUAGACUAAUAGGCCAUAUGAGUGCAGGUUUAUUGCUGACAGAGCAUCCCCAACUGUACCCUCCGUAAAGGCUGGGGUGAAGUAAGAAGACCCGGUGACUCCAGUGUCUGUCCACAGCUGGUGGCACACCAAGUCUGGAUAAGGAGAUCAGCCCUGGGAUUUCUUUGGAAGGAAUGAUGCUAAAGCUGAAAUUCCAGUACUUUGGCCACCUCAUGCGAAGAGUUGACUCAUUGGAAUAGACUCUGAUGCUGGGAGGGAUUGGGGGCAAGAGGAGAGGGGGACGACAGAGGAUGAGAUGGCUGGAUGGCAUCACUGACUCGAUGGACAUGAGUCUGGGUGAACUCCAGGAGUUGGUGGUGGACAGGGAGGCCUGGCGUGCUGCGAUUCAUGGGGUUGCAAAGAGUCGGACACGACUGAGCGAAUGAUCUGAUCUGUGUGAGAUCUUUCCCAGGAUUGCAGUAUUGGACCAACACUCAACUUCAGUUAUGGGAAACAGCGUAUUGAUAUAAUGAAGGACGGAAACCACCUGCCAUCUUGACAGACAAAUAAAAAGCAUUUGACACAGUUCAAGACCCAUUCAUGACAAAUAAGUAAAUAACUAAAUCAAUAAACACGGUCAACCAUCUCAGGAUAGAAGGGAUCGUCAUUGCCGUGCUGAAGAACAUCCCUGAGAAACAUCCAGCUCUCGUCACAUCACAUCUAGUAGAGUCUGAGUGAAUGCUUGCCUCUUGAGAUCCAGACCAAGAUAGGAGGUCUGCUUCAACCACCUCUAUUCCACACUGACUGAAGGGUCUAGCCUGUGCACCAUGCAAAAGAAGAAAUGAAAUCUUGGAGAAAUGAGAAAUGAAACCCAUAUCCACACAAAUACUUGUCCUUCGAUGUCUUUCACAGCAGCACUGUCUGUAAUCUCCAAGUAGUGGAGCAGCCUAAAAGUCUGUCAGCUGGAGAGUGGUAAACAGAGUAUUUAUUCUGUAGCCAUGCAGUGAAACAGCACAGAUGGAUGAAAAGUGGUGAACUUCUGCUUUCUGCUGCCACAUGGGUCAGCCUCUGAAGAACUGUGCUAAGUGAAAGAACCCAGACACAAAAGGCCACUUCCUGCAGGAGUCCGUUGAUGUGAAUGCCCACAAAGGGCAAAUCAACAGAGACAGAAAUUAGAUGAGAGGAUGCCGGGACCUGCAGAUACUGUUGCGGAUCGACUGCUGAUGGGUACACGGAACCUUUUAGUGGUGCUGGCAGUGUUCCACAACUGCACUGUGGUGGUGGCUGCACCACUGUGUGAAGUUACUAAAAGUUACUGCCCUGGAAGUGAUGGGUGUGAUUUGUGGUGUGUAACUGUACCUCAGUAAAGCAGUUUAGGAAGGUACUGCAGAUGUCCAAGUGAGACAUGUGGGAAAAGAUAUGCCAUUGCUUUUGUAACAACAAGGAGUGCCCCUGCUCCUUCCACGUUCUGGGUCCGGCCUCCUCCACAUGUGCUAGAUGCUCCCUCCAGAGACAGUCGCUGUGCACGUUAGGACAAAAUCCCCAGUGAGCACACACAUCUAGUUUGUCUCUAGAGUUCCAAAGAAGGUCCCGAACAAAACUCCCAGCCGACCAGGGCCAAGAGACUGGCACGGGCCUCACUGGGUGGCUGCGCGCAGGCCCAGAGCCAGCCAAUCGGAGUGCAGCCCCGCCCACCAAGCUCCGGAUCUUCCUGGACUCGCUGACUUCCUGCCCGUGUUGCUAUGGUUCCGCGGACUGCUCGCUGUCCAGGGGUGGUUUGGCCGGACCCCGUCGAGAGAUUCCCUUCCUUUCUCUGGUCCUUACGGGCUUUCUACUUAACUUUCGUAUCCACGCUGUCCAGUCCUCUGCGCGGAAACCCAGCAGAAACGAUGAAUUUUCUUCCGGGCUUGCGGCGUUUGGGUUUCUGUAGCCUGCAGGUGGCAGUGUUGCUCCACAGUGUCGCCGGGCCGGUUUUUCCUCCGCUAUGGCGCUUUAAUAAAAUAACAGGGAGCCUUUUGCCUCAAGAAGCAGCUGGUUUGGUUUUGUUUUCUUUUCCUCCGCUAGUGCCGGUUGGCUGAUUCAAACUGCAUCUGAGCCCUUCAGAGAGCCCGUUGUGAGAACUUUCGCCGGACGCACUGACACUUA